UAGCGUAGGGGGCUAGCGUUGUCCGGAAUCAUUGGGCGUAAAGCGCGCGUAGGCGGCCCGGUAAGUCCGCUGUGAAAGUCAAAGGCUCAACCUUUGAAUGUCAGCGGAUACUGCCGGGCUAGAGUCCGGAGGAGGCGAGUGGAAUUCCUGGUGUAGCGGUGGAAUGCGCAGAUAUCAGGAGGAACACCAACGGCGAAGGCAGCUCGCUGGGACGGUACUGAGCUGAGGCGCGAAAGCGUGGGGAGCGAACAGG
rnacentral:rRNA from 1 species